rnacentral:misc_RNA from 1 species
UUGGUCCACCAUUUGCACGAUAUCGUGUAAAUAGACGGUCCGCAAUGAUGGCGGCAGGUGCGAAGAGGAAAGGAGAAAUGGGAGAGGCCCCGGGUGCCAAAAGAACACCUGGUCACUGGAGUCAAGGUCUUUUAUCGUCCAUGGACGACCCAGAACUCAGAGUCGAUGCUGAUGAUAAAGUUGUAAUUAUCAAGGACAAGUACCCAAAGGCACUACAUCACUUCCUCAUUUUGCCCAAAGAGAAGAUUGCCAACUUAAAGAAGCUUAAGUCAGAACACAUACUCCUCCUUAAACACAUCCACAAGAAAGGAAUUGAGAUUGCAGAAAAAGCAGACAAAAACCUGCAGUUUAGGUUUGGCUAUCAUGCAGUCCCCAGCAUGAGCCACCUUCACAUGCAUGUGAUCAGCCAGGACUUUAACAGCCCCUUUCUCAAGACUAAGAAGCACUGGAACUCCUUCACUACGGAGUAUUUCAUUGAUUCCAAAGAUAUCCUAGAUCAGCUGGAAGAUAAGGGGAGAGUAGAGACAAAUACAACAGAGAAUGAACAACUGCUCAAGAGAGAGUUAAGUUAUUCCGUCGUGAGACGAGAGGAAUGUCACUAUCGCAGAAUAGCGAAUGACAUGGUUCGGUCAAUACCACCCAACCGUUAUUAUCGGCAGGUAUUAUGACGCCUGUGACUGCAGAAGUACACCAUCCACCGAAAUCAACAAUACCAGAGGACUUUGUGUCACAAGUGCUCCAAGAUGUUCUCCACGAUGCCAGCUCUCAAGUCUCACAUCGUCCUGCACAAUGUGUCAAAGAAAAAGUCCUGAUAGUUAUACAGGCUUACUUGUGUAGAAACUGUAAAUAAAGCAUCACCCUUUA